rnacentral:rRNA from 1 species
UACGAAGGGGGCUAGCGUUGCUCGGAAUCACUGGGCGUAAAGGGUGCGUAGGCGGGUCUUUAAGUCAGGGGUGAAAUCCUGGAGCUCAACUCCAGAACUGCCUUUGAUACUGAGGAUCUUGAGUUCGGGGAGAGGUGAGUGGAACUGCGAGUGUAGAGGUGAAAAUUCGUAGAUAUUCGCAAGAACACCAGUGGCGAAGGCGGGCUCACUGGCCCGAUACUGACGCUGAGGCACGAAAGCGUGGGGAG